AAUUCUAGGGGCUGCCAUGGCUUGGCUAAGCUUCCCUUGACCACUGAGCAUUUCUAAGGGAGUUGAGGCUGGUGGCUCCUCCUUCCUUCCUACUGGUGCUUCCACCUGCCUUGGUCUGAGUUGCAGUCCAUGGGGCAGCGCCUAAGUGUCUGAGCACACUUAAGAAUCUCUAGUGGUUUAUGACCCAGACUUUGCCCUACCACCUCAGUCUUCUGAAUGUUCUCUUCCCUGGACCCUGCUCCAGACACUUUAAAUUCAGAAGAGGAAAAUGUGCCCAGCCUGCCUGGAGAAAAGUGUCUGCUCCUAGCCAAGAUCUCCUCAUCACAAAGAAUGGGAAUGACCUUUGACUUUAAACAAAUCCAGACUCCAGUUUUACCCUGAAUUGUUGGGGGAACAUUUUGUUUUUUUUUUCUUUUUAGUAUUUUCAAUUCUUCCAUGUCUUAGUUUUUAGGGUGUUGACCUGUGUUAAUCCAGGCUAUCUUCUAGCUAUAUCUGGUUUCCUCAGGUGGAAAAUGUUAAAUAUAGUUAAUAUAAAAUUUCACUCUAGAAUCUGCUAGAAAUGACGGAGGCAAAGUUAAUGUAUAUAUAAAAAAAUCCACCAGUGACUGGUGGCCAGUAGGCUUUCAAUAAUUGUGAAGUCCCUUCUACCCCCUUGAAAGUACUGUGUUUCUCCCCUAAGCAGCACAUUGUGUGUGGUGGUUUCAUGGUUAAAAGUUUAGACAGACCCAGCAAAUCUCUCUUCUCUUUUACUUCCUAAGUGUGUGACCUUGGACAAGUUACCUUCCCUCUCAGAGCUGAAUUUUCCUCAGUUGUAAAAUAGAGAGAAUUAGAGUAUUCAUCUCACAGGAUAAUUGUGAGACUUAAAUAAGAGAAUGCAUGUAAAAUGGUUAACAUAGGGCUUAGAAUGUAGAAAAAAAGUCCUUUGUUUUAUUGCCAAUUUUAUUUUUACUUAUGACUAAGCAGCCAUGACCUC
rnacentral:lncRNA from 1 species